GUGUGCGAUCAUACCCGCACUAGUGCACCGAAUGCCACAAGAACUCCGCGCUUAGGUUAUCUUGGGCGAGGGUAGUACAAGGAUGGGUGACCUCCUCAGAAGUCUACGUGUUCCACCCC
rnacentral:rRNA from 1 species